UGGUCUAGUGGUUAGGAUUCGUGGCUCUCACCCACGCGGCCCGGGUUCGAUUCCCGG
rfam:Ciona savignyi cont_7376, whole genome shotgun sequence.